AACCUUGCGAAAGUAAGACUAAUACCCAAUGAUAUCUCUAGAAGACAUCUGAAAGAGAUUAAAGAUUUAUCGGUGAUGGAUGGGGAUGCGUCUGAUUAGCUUGUUGGCGGGGUAACGGCCCACCAAGGCGACGAUCAGUAGGGGUUCUGAGAGGAAGGUCCCCCACAUUGGAACUGAGACACGGUCCAAACUCCUACGGGAGGCAGCAGUGAGGAAUAUUGGUCAAUGGRCGAGAGCCUGAACCAGCCAAGUAGCGUGCAGGAUGACGGCCCUAUGGGUUGUAAACUGCUUUUAUAAGGGAAUAAAGUGAGCCUCGUGAGGCUUUUUGCAUGUACCUUAUGAAUAAGGACCGGCUAAUUCCGUGCCAGCAGCCGCGGUAAUACGGAAGGUCCGGGCGUUAUCCGGAUUUAUUGGGUUUAAAGGGAGCGUAGGCCGGAGAUUAAGCGUGUUGUGAAAUGUAGACGCUCAACGUCUGCACUGCAGCGCGAACUGGUUUCCUUGAGUACGCACAAAGUGGGCGGAAUUCGUGGUGUAGCGGUGAAAUGCUUAGAUAUCACGAAGAACUCCGAUUGCGAAGGCAGCUCACUGGAGCGCAACUGACGCUGAAGCUCGAAAGUGCGGGUAUCGAACAGGAUUAGAUACCCUGGUAGUCCGCACGGUAAACGAUGGAUGCCCGCUGUUGGUCUGAACAGGUCAGCGGCCAAGCGAAAGCAUUAAGCAUCCCACCUGGGGAGUACGCCGGCAACGGUGAAACUCAAAGGAAUUGACGGGGGCCCGCACAAGCGGAGGAACAUGUGGUUUAAUUCGAUGAUACGCGAGGAAACCUUACCCGGGCUUGAAUUGCAGAGGAAGGAUUUGGAGACAAUGACGCCCUUCGGGGYCUCUGUGAAGGUGCUGCAUGGUUGUCGUCAGCUCGUGCCGUGAGGUGUCGGCUUAAGUGCCAUAACGAGCGCAACCCCUCUCCUUAGUUGCCAUCAGGUYAAGCUGGGCACUCUGGGGACACUGCCACCGUAAGGUGUGAGGAAGGUGGGGAUGACGUCAAAUCAGCACGGCCCUUACGUCCGGGGCUACACACGUGUUACAAUGGCAGGUACAGAGAGACGGUYSCYYGYAAAGUSGAUCAAAUCCUUAAAGCCUGUCUCAGUUCGGACUGGGGUCUGCAACCCGACCCCACGAAGCUGGAUUCGCUA
rnacentral:rRNA from 1 species